GAUCAUGGCUCAGAUUGAACGCUAGCGGGAUGCCUUACACAUGCAAGUCGAACGGCAGCACGGACUUCGGUCUGGUGGCGAGUGGCGAACGGGUGAGUAAUGUAUCGGAACGUGCCCAGUAGCGGGGGAUAACUACGCGAAAGCGUAGCUAAUACCGCAUACGCCCUACGGGGGAAAGCAGGAGAUCGCAAGACCUUGCACUAUUGGAGCGGCCGAUAUCGGAUUAGCUAGUUGGUGGGGUAACGGG
rnacentral:rRNA from 1 species